GGGGGGGCUAUACAUGCAGUCGAGCGAACUGAUUAGAAGCUUGCUUCUAUGACGUUAGCGGCGGACGGGUGAGUAACACGUGGGCAACCUGCCUGUAAGACUGGGAUAACUUCGGGAAACCGAAGCUAAUACCGGAUAGGAUCUUCUCCUUCAUGGGAGAUGAUUGAAAGAUGGUUUCGGCUAUCACUUACAGAUGGGCCCGCGGUGCAUUAGCUAGUUGGUGAGGUAACGGCUCACCAAGGCAACGAUGCAUAGCCGACCUGAGAGGGUGAUCGGCCACACUGGGACUGAGACACGGCCCAGACUCCUACGGGAGGCAGCAGUAGGGAAUCUUCCGCAAUGGACGAAAGUCUGACGGAGCAACGCCGCGUGAGUGAUGAAGGCUUUCGGGUCGUAAAACUCUGUUGUUAGGGAAGAACAAGUACGAGAGUAACUGCUCGUACCUUGACGGUACCUAACCAGAAAGCCACGGCUAACUACGUGCCAGCAGCCGCGGUAAUACGUAGGUGGCAAGCGUUAUCCGGAAUUAUUGGGCGUAAAGCGCGCGCAGGCGGUUUCUUAAGUCUGAUGUGAAAGCCCACGGCUCAACCGUGGAGGGUCAUUGGAAACUGGGGAACUUGAGUGCAGAAGAGAAAAGCGGAAUUCCACGUGUAGCGGUGAAAUGCGUAGAGAUGUGGAGGAACACCAGUGGCGAAGGCGGCUUUUUGGUCUGUAACUGACGCUGAGGCGCGAAAGCGUGGGGAGCAAACAGGAUUAGC
rnacentral:rRNA from 2 species